ensembl:snRNA U6 U6 spliceosomal RNA
GUGUUCACUUCAGCAGCACAUGUUCUAAAGUUAGAAUGAUAUAGAGAAGAUUGGCGUGGUCCCUGUGCAAGGAUGAUAUGGAGAUUCAUGAAAUAUUCCAUAGUGUA